GAACCUGCGGAAGGAUCAUUACCGAGUGAGGGCCCUCUGGGUCCAACCUCCCACCCGUGUUUAUUUUACCUUGUUGCUUCGGCGGGCCCGCCUUAACUGGCCGCCGGGGGGCUUACGCCCCCGGGCCCGCGCCCGCCGAAGACACCCUCGAACUCUGUCUGAAGAUUGUAGUCUGAGUGAAAAUAUAAAUUAUUUAAAACUUUCAACAACGGAUCUCUUGGUUCCGGCAUCGAUGAAGAACGCAGCGAAAUGCGAUACGUAAUGUGAAUUGCAAAUUCAGUGAAUCAUCGAGUCUUUGAACGCACAUUGCGCCCCCUGGUAUUCCGGGGGGCAUGCCUGUCCGAGCGUCAUUGCUGCCCUCAAGCACGGCUUGUGUGUUGGGCCCCGUCCUCCGAUCCCGGGGGACGGGCCCGAAAGGCAGCGGCGGCACCGCGUCCGGUCCUCGAGCGUAUGGGGCUUUGUCACCCGCUCUGUAGGCCCGGCCGGCGCUUGCCGAUCAACCC
rnacentral:rRNA from 1 species